rnacentral:rRNA from 1 species
UACGAAGGAGGCGAGCGUUGUCCGGAGUUACUGGGCGUAAAGGGUGCGCAGGCGGCCGCGCGCGUGGGUGGUGAAAUCUCCCGGCUCAACUGGGAGGGGGCCAUCCAGACGGCGUGGCUUGAGGCUCGGAGGGGGGCGUGGAAUUCCGGGUGGAGCGGUGAAAUGCGUAGAGAUCCGGAGGAACACAGACGGCGAAGGCAGCGCCCCUGGACGAGACCUGACGCUCAGGCACGAAAAGCUGGGGGGAGCAAACAGG